UACGAAGGGGGCUAGCGUUGCCCGGAUUCAUUGGGCGUAAAGAGCGUGUAGGCGGCCAGGUAGGUCGGUUGUGAAAACUGGAGGCUCAACCUUCAGAGGUCGACCGAAACCAUCUGGCUAGAGUCCGGGAGAGGAGAGUGGAAUUCCUGGUGUAGCGGUGAAAUGCGCAGAUAUCAGGAAGAACACCCGUGGCGAAAGCGGCUCUCUGGAACGGUACUGACGCUGAGACGCGAAAGCGUGGGGAGCGAACAGG
rnacentral:rRNA from 1 species